CACAAGCGUUGUCCGGAAUUACUGGGUGUAAAGGGAGCGCAGGCGGGAAGACAAGUUGGAAGUGAAAUCUAUGGGCUCAACCCAUAAACUGCUUUCAAACUGUUUUUCUUGAGUAGUGCAGAGGUAGGCGGAAUUCCCGGUGUAGCGGUGGAAUGCGUAGAUAUCGGGAGGAACACCAGUGGCGAAGGCGGCCUACUGGGCACCAACUGACGCUGAGGCUCGAAAGUGUGGGUAGCAAACAGGAUUAGAUACCCUGGUAGUCCACACCGUAAACGAUGAUUACUAGGUGUUGGAGGAUUGACCCCUUCAGUGCCGCAGUUAACACAAUAAGUAAUCCACCUGGGGAGUACGACCGCAAGGUUGAAACUCAAAGGAAUUGACGGGGGCCCGCACAAGCAGUGGAGUAUGUGGUUUAAUUCGACGCAACGCGAAGAACCUUACCAAGUCUUGACAUCCUGCGACGUGCAUAGAAAUAUGUAUUUCCUUCGGGACGCAGAGACAGGUGGUGCAUGGUUGUCGUCAGCUCGUGUCGUGAGAUGUUGGGUUAAGUCCCGCAACGAGCGCAACCCUUACUGUCAGUUACUACGCAAGAGGACUCUGGCAGGACUGCCGUUGACAAAACGGAGGAAGGUGGGGAUGACGUCAAAUCAUCAUGCCCUUUAUGACUUGGGCUACACACGUACUACAAUGGCGUUAAACAAAGAGAAGCAAGACCGCGAGGUGGAGCAAAACUCAGAAACAACGUCCCAGUUCGGACUGCAGGCUGCAACUCGCCUGCACGAAGUCGGAAUUGCUAGUAAUCGUGGAUCAGCAUGCCACGGUGAAUACGUUCCCGGGCCUUGUACUCACCGCCCGU
rnacentral:rRNA from 1 species